CCGUGGCUUAGCCUGGUAGAGCGCACGUUCCAGAAUCGUGAGGUCCCGAGUUCAAAUCUCGGCGG
rnacentral:tRNA from 1 species